rnacentral:snRNA from 1 species
AUACUCUGGUUUCUCUUCAGAUCAUAUAAAUAUUUCAACUUUUACUAAAAAUUUCCAUGGAAAGGAGCCUCAGCAAUUUUAAUCAUCAUUUUUUUCAAAUUCAUCUGAUUUACUGUGGGU